GCUGCGACUGGUGCUGCUGCUGCUGCUGCUGCUGCAGGUGCUGCAUCUGCUGCUGCUGCAUCUGCUGGAGC